CGCUGUUACCAAGCCCCAGCCGCCCACUGUAGGUCAUACACUCUUCCCUGCCUGCCGACAAGGGACAACCUACCAGCAAGCUAUAUAGCAGACGCCCCAGUGGGAGGCGACCAUGUCCCCGCAAACAUCGAACAAGGAGAUGCCGACGAGCGUGACCGUUGGGACGAUAGCGAGGGGCGUUAUCCAGCGUGUCAGCAACCCGACCAGCCCUGCAGCAGCGCCUCCGUCAUCAUACACAGGUACCAUCGCAAUGUAGACAAUACUGACUGUCUUCAGAUCCUCUCUCCUGCCACAAGGUUGCCUCUCUUUCUAUCUUCUAUCGCUACUUUCAUGCUAA